UGUUUCGGCUAGGGGGCCAUCCCGGCUUACCAACCCGAUGCAAACUGCGAAUACCGGAGAAUGUUAUCACGGGAGACACACGGCGGGUGCUAACGUCCGUCGUGAAGAGGGAAACAACCCAGACCGCCAGCUAAGGUCCCAAAGUCAUGGUUAAGUGGGAAACGAUGUGGGAAGGCCCAGACAGCCAGGAUGUUGGCUUAGAAGCAGCCAUCAUUUAAAGAAAGCGUAAUAGCUCACUGGUCGAGUCGGCCUGCGCGGAAGAUGUAACGGGGCUAAACCAUGCACCGAAGCUGCGGCAGCGAACGUAUCACUUAAAACGAUUCAGAAGCUUACGAUUGACGGAGCGAAGCGACGUCAAAGCGUAUACAAAGUCGAGUCGGUUUAAGGAUACGUUCGUUGGGUAGGGGAGCGUUCUGUAAGCCGUUGAAGGUGUCCUGUGAGGGGUGCUGGAGGUAUCAGAAGUGCGAAUGCUGACAUAAGUAACGAUAAAGCGGGUGAAAAGCCCGCUCGCCGGAAGACCAAGGGUUCCUGUCCAACGUUAAUCGGGGCAGGGUGAGUCGACCCCUAAGGCGAGGCCGAAAGGCGUAGUCGAUGGGAAACGGGUUAAUAUUCCCGUACUUGGUGUUACUGCGAAGGGGGGACGGAGAAGGCUAUGUUGGCCGGGCGACGGUAGUCCCGGUUUAAGCGUGUAGGUGUGUGUUCCAGGUAAAUCCGGUUCACUUUAACACUGAGGCGUGAUGACGAGGCACCACGGUGCUGAAGCAACAAAUGCCCUGCUUCCAGGAAAAGCCUCUAAGCAUCAGGUAACAUCAAAUCGUACCCCAAACCGACACAGGUGGUCAGGUAGAGAAUACCAAGGCGCUUGAGAGAACUCGGGUGAAGGAACUAGGCAAAAUGGUGCCGUAACUUCGGGAGAAGGCACGCUGACACGUAGGUGAAGUGAUUUACUCACGGAGCUGAAGUCAGUCGAAGAUACCAGCUGGCUGCAACUGUUUAUUAAAAACACAGCACUGUGCAAACACGAAAGUGGACGUAUACGGUGUGACGCCUGCCCGGUGCCGGAAGGUUAAUUGAUGGGGUCAGCGCAAGCGAAGCUCCUGAUCGAAGCCCCGGUAAACGGCGGCCGUAACUAUAACGGUCCUAAGGUAGCGAAAUUCCUUGUCGGGUAAGUUCCGACCUGCACGAAUGGCGUAAUGAUGGCCAGGCUGUCUCCACCCGAGACUCAGUGAAAUUGAACUCGCUGUGAAGAUGCAGUGUACCCGCGGCAAGACGGAAAGACCCCGUGAACCUUUACUAUAGCUUGACACUGAACAUUGAGCCUUGAUGUGUAGGAUAGGUGGGAGGCUUUGAAGCGUGGACGCCAGUCUGCGUGGAGCCGACCUUGAAAUACCACCCUUUAAUGUUUGAUGUUCUAACGUGGACCCGUAAUCCGGGUUGCGGACAGUGUCUGGUGGGUAGUUUGACUGGGGCGGUCUCCUCCUAAAGAGUAACGGAGGAGCACGAAGGUUGGCUAAUCCUGGUCGGACAUCAGGAGGUUAGUGCAAUGGCAUAAGCCAGCUUGACUGCGAGCGUGACGGCGCGAGCAGGUGCGAAAGCAGGUCAUAGUGAUCCGGUGGUUCUGAAUGGAAGGGCCAUCGCUCAACGGAUAAAAGGUACUCCGGGGAUAACAGGCUGAUACCGCCCAAGAGUUCAUAUCGACGGCGGUGUUUGGCACCUCGAUGUCGGCUCAUCACAUCCUGGGGCUGAAGUAGGUCCCAAGGGUAUGGCUGUUCGCCAUUUAAAGUGGUACGCGAGCUGGGUUUAGAACGUCGUGAGACAGUUCGGUCCCUAUCUGCCGUGGGCGCUGGAAGACUGAGGGGGGCUGCUCCUAGUACGAGAGGACCGGAGUGGACGCAUCACUGGUGUUCGGGUUGUCAUGCCAAUGGCACUGCCCGGUAGCUAAAUGCGGAAAAGAUAAGUGCUGAAAGCAUCUAAGCACGAAACUUGCCCCGAGAUGAGUCUUCCCUGAGACUUUGAGUCUCCUGAAGGAACGUUAAAGACGAUGACGUUGAUAGGCCGGGUGUGUAAGCGCAGCGAUGCGUUGAGCUAACCGGUACUAAUGAACCGUGAGG
rnacentral:rRNA from 1 species